UGCCUAGCAAGUCCUAUCCCUACCUCCUCGUGGUACUGGCCGGGGUAUGAGCAACCUUAGGGACGUAAGCUGGGAAUAGCUUUUAUAGUGAUGGG
rnacentral:ribozyme from 1 species